CCUACGGGAGGCAGCAGUGGGGAAUUUUGCGCAAUGGGCGAAAGCCUGACGCAGCAACGCCGCGUGAGUGAUGAAGGCUUUCGGGUCGUAAAGCUCUGUCGAGGGGAAAGAAAUGUAUUUUGGUUAAUACCCUUAAUACUUGACGGUACCCCUAAAGGAAGCACCGGCUAACUCCGUGCCAGCAGCCGCGGUAAU
rnacentral:rRNA from 1 species